AAAAUCCUAGGUAGGUGGACUUGGUAAUUUUUUCUUACUUUAUGCAUUAAGGGCACACAGUUUGUCCUGCUAGAGGGUCAUUUUCUAUCUAGUUUAUGUGUUGUUAUUGUUGACAACAUGGAAGUCAAGUUUGAUAUUGAUAAUCAUAAAUUUUACCUAUUAGGAGUUUUGGUCCUUGUAAUAUUGAUAAAUGCCAGAACACAAAUAAAUGUUAAAGAAUCCGGUUUACUGUCAUUUUGACUGCUCUUUAAAAAAA
rnacentral:lncRNA from 1 species